UGUUGAAAAUUUAAUUCAUCUGUACUGUUAAAAACUAACGUGGUUGAUGGAAUAACUAGACACUAACAUGUGGUGUGCCACGUUUAUCUCAUGUUAAUGUACGAGAACCAGUUUUUUACCGUAAAAAUAGAUGAAAUUUUUAAAA
rfam:Gossypium raimondii Chr06_contig_100, whole genome shotgun sequence.